rnacentral:lncRNA from 1 species
AUGGAGAAAGUUGUGGUUCUCAUAAAAGAUAUGCUAUAGCUUUAGUCUUUUUCUAUGUGCUAUCAGUCAAAAAGUUCUGAGAAGCACAGUUUCAUAUGUCUGUUAGUUCCUGUUUUCAUGUUGGAAAAAAAUGCUAUGGGGUGUCGGUCAGUUGCACAUUGUGUUCCUUUGCUGACAUGGCACUCUUUUGCAUGUUGUGAUUUGAUCAGCCC